rnacentral:misc_RNA from 1 species
GGGUAGGGCCUUUGUGUAUGUAAUAUUGGGAGGAGGAGUUGCUGCUGGUUAUGCAGCUCAUGAAUUUGUUAAACGAGGUGUCUCUCAUGGCGAACUAUGCAUCAUCUCUGAAGAACCUGUUGCUCCUUAUGAACGACCUGCAUUAAGCAAGGGUUAUUUACUACCAGAAGAUCCUGCACGUCUGCCUGCUUUUCAUUGUUGUGUUGGUUCAAAUGAGG